UGGGGGAUAGUUUAAUUGGCAGAACAACGGGUUCUGGCCCCGUUGGUCUUGGUUCGAGUCCAGGUCCCCCAG
rnacentral:tRNA from 1 species